AUUUGAAAUCUCCGAUGCCCGCAUCGGCGAGUUGUAGUUGCGAGAAGCACUUUCUAGGCGGAAUCGGCCCUGCCUAAGUUGCUUGGAACGGCACGUCGCAGAGGGUGACAACCCCGUCUGUGGCAGGGCCGGCCGUCGACGAUGCGCUUUCGAAGAGUCGGGUUGUUUGGGAAUGCAGCCCAAAAUGGGUGGUAAACUCCAUCUAAAGCUAAAUAUUGGCGUGAGACCGAUAGCGAACAAGUACCGUGAGGGAAAGAUGAAAAGAACUUUGAAAAGAGAGUUAAAGAGUACGUGAAACCGUCUAGAGGGAAACGAAUGGACUCAGCAAUGCGCUCCGUCGAGAUUCAGCCGGCGGGCGACCUCGGUCCUUGGUUCGCGGAUCCGAAUGGACCGCGGCCUCGGGCUCGCGAGCUCCCGCCGUCGCACUUCUCACGGGCGCGCGUCAACGUCGGUUGGGACUGGGUGUUAAGGGUGCCGGGAAGGUAGGCGCGGAGCCCCUCGGGGAUUUCCGCUCUGUUAACGUAGCCCGGCUUCUCGCAUGACUCGGGCCCGACCGAGGCGGUUAUAGGGCAUGCCUCUUGUGGCUAGGGGCCCGUCCUUCCGGCCGGCCGUCCGAUGCGGUGGACUGCUUGCAGUGUUCGGCGAUGGCUACCGGUCGUUUGGGCGGUGUUUUUCCCGUACCAUGCCCUUGGGACGUUGGCGGUCAUAUGGGUCUAUCCGACCCGUCUUGAAACACGGACCAAGGAGUCUAACAUGUGCGCGAGUCUUAGGGUGAGCCAAACCCCGAGGCGCAAUGAAAGUGAAAGCGGUUUCGGCCGCCGAGGUGAGACCCGCACUGCUGCGCGGCGGGGCGGCGCAUCAUCGACCGACCUAUUCUACUCUUAGGAAGGUUUGAGUGAGA
rnacentral:rRNA from 1 species